GUUUGUUCACAUGAUCUUAACUAAUAUUUUCCCUUUUGAAAUUAUUUUUCAUUUCACAGCCCAUAUCGUUAAAGCCAAGGAGACAUACCACAGACAGGGCCAGGGCACUGCCUCUGGGCCUUAAUGCUGUGUUUAUGUUGUGCUGUCGAGGCAGAGCCAGAGAGCCUGGGCUUAGUGGGAGUUCCCAGGGUGAUCCUGUUUGCCAAAGGCAGGGCUGAGGCCUAGGCUGCAUGGCUCACGUGUCCUGGGCCUGUCACAGGUUCUACGUGGAGAAGUCUCUGGAGUGAGGGCCCGCCAUCUUGGUAAGGCACCCUGGGUUCAGGUUGGUUUGGUUCCCCUCCACAUGGCACUGCAUUAGAGGAAAGCACAGUUGAGGCCCCAAGUUGGGCACACCUGUUCAUCCGUCCCCUUAAUCUACCUUCAUCUCGGGUCCUGCCCUCCCACUGUGUUUCUGACACUCACAGAAGUAAUAUAACUGGAGCUACUCUUGUCCCAGUGCUGUAUAUUAUCACAUUUAAUUCUCAGUCCGGCUCUGUGGAAUGAUUGUCCCCGUUUUAUAAUUAAGGACUCUGUGGAAUCAGAGAGGUCAAGCAACAUAUUCAAGAAGACACGACUAAUAAGUGGCCCAGGCAGGACAUGAACCCAGAUCUUUCUGGCAACCCCAGGGGCUUUCCUACAUACUACCCAGCCUCCUUGGGCAGUAGGAGCUCAGUAAACCCCCUCAGCUCACUCUGACCCGUCAAAGGAGAUUCAAUCAACCUGAAUGCUUAAAAGCUGUACUGAGACAGGCUGUGACCUGGGACCCUUUGCUGCAGUGCUUGCACCUGGACAAAUGUCUCCUCAAGCAACAGAAUACAAAGAAACGAUAAGAGACUAAAAACAACCGCGUGCACGAGCAUUCCGGGCAAUUAUGAACAAGAUACAAAAAGGCCACAAACCAACUGCCACUUCUGAGGUGCCGGGAGCAAAAGCAGGGUACUGCGCACGAUCCGUGCGCACAGCACCACCAAGCGGGUGGCAGACCACAAAAGCCGUCCCUCCGGCCCAACCCACCAAUCUGCCCCCACUCUCACCCCAUUUAAGGGACCAGCUGGCCCCUCCUCAGGGAGCGAGUAAGGGAACCUGUUACCUGUUUUCUCUCCCUCCUGCUGCAGCAUGAGUCCCAGUAAAGCCUUGCCUGAAUUUCUCAUCUGGCCUCUUAUCAGUUAACACUGAUUAAAGAGUCCAAGGACUGGAGCUGGUAACCGUACCACCGCUGCAGGUGAGCGUAAAAGCUUUGGAAGAGUGGCGAUCUUAUCUGCUUUAUCCAGAGCUGGAGUGUAGGAGUCACUCAAUCAGUGGCUGUUUGGUAAGUGAAUGAAUGUAUACACAGUUUAAAAUGAUGUUUACCAGGGCUUCCCUGGUGGCGCAGUGGUUAAGAAUCCGCCUGCCAAUUCAGGGGACACGGGUUCAAGCCCUGGUCCGGGAAGAUCCCACAUGCCGCAGAGCAACUAAGUCUGUGUGCCACAGCUACUGAUCCCACGUGCUGCAACUACUGAAGGCUGUGGGCCUAGAACCUGUGCUCCACAACAAGAGAAGCCCGCGCACAGCAACGAAGGGUAGCCUCCACUUGCCGCAACUAGAGAAAGCCCACACACAGCAACGAAGACCCAACGCAGCCAAAAAUAAAUAAAUUAAAAAAAAUGUUUACCACAAUUAUGCAACAAAAAGUUUUAAAUGACCAAUAUCUA